rnacentral:lncRNA from 1 species
GAACGAGGCUAAUCCAUGAAAGCUACGGGCCUCAGUCAAAGUUGUAGGUUCUGGCCAAUCACGAAUUACAGAGAUUUUAGCUGGAUCAGCCGAAAUUCCCUGGGUAGAGAUAAUGAAACCUAAGAAUAAGACUUGUGAUUGUAGAAAGGAACACUUCUUAAGGUUAGCGUACAGUUUGUUAAAACGAAGUGUAAGAAAGACUUGUCUAAGGUGAUCUGAGUGGUCCUAUCGCGAUUUACUGUAAAUCAAUAUAUCAUCAAAAUAGACCACGAGAAAUUUUCCAAUGAAAGGUCGGAAGACGUGAGUCAUCGCCCUAAUAAAAGUGCUAGGCGCAUUAGACAUCCCGAAAGGCAUAACUAGCCACUCGUAUAAACCAUCCCGCGUCUUAAAGGCUAUUUUCCAUUCAUCCCCUGGUCUAAUCCUAAUUUGGUGAUAUCCACUUCGUAGAUCUAUUUUAGAAAACCAUAAGGAUCCCGCUAACUCAUCCAGCAUGUCGUCGAGGCGUGGUAUGGGAAAUCGAUAUUUUAUAGUAAUUUUGAUAAUGGCACGACUAUCGACACACAUACGCCAAGAUCCGUCUUUUUUGGAAGUAAGUAGGACGGGGACUGCAUAAGGACUAAGGCUAUGACGAAUAAAACCUUUAGAUAGUAAUGCCUCAACCUGUUUAUUUAGCUCGACCCGUUCUGCAGGAUUCAUCCUAUAGUGAGGGCGAUUUGAUAAUUGUGAUCCCGGGACCAAGUUGAUUGCAUGUUGAAUAUCACGAAUGGGAGGGAGUUCAUCAGGUAGGUCAUCUGGCAUGACAUCGCUAAACUCCUCUAACAACGGAGUGGUGACAAUGAGGCAUGUUGAAUAUCACGAUUAGAGUUUGCUUCGUAGUAGGUUGGGAACAUGCUUUGGUAACUAACGCAAACAUCAACCUGGUGUCGUGCGCCUCAAGCUCAAAGGCCUUAUGGGACAAGACCUGAAUUCGGUUCUUUGUACUUGUAGCACAAGUGGGUGUUGUUUUAGGCAGUGGUCUCUUUGGGGGGUCAGAUGGUUUGGCUGGAAGAAGCCAAAUGGGUUUGCUAUUAUGGACAAACUCAUAGGUGUUAUCACGCCCGAAGUGCUUAACAUCAUGAUCGUAGAGCCAAGGGCAGGCCCAAAAGGACGUGAGCAACAUCCAUAGGUAGAAUGUCACAGUAAAGGUCUUCUGAGUAUGGGCCAAAUGUAAGGGAUACAAGACAACGAUGAGUGACAGGCAAAGAAGUCCUAUCGACCCAUACCACCUUAAAAGGGCGACAGUGGAGUUCGGUUUUGAAGUCGAAUUUGGUUACCGCUGAAGUGGAAACGACGUUCAUGGUACUACCCCCGUCAAUUACUAAUUUGCAAGAACGAGAGUUACACGGUAUGUAUGUGUGGAAUAUUGAUGUCCUUUUCCAAGAAUCAGAGUCAACAGGGGUGGAGAGGAUGCAUCUCAUGAUCGAGACAACAGCCUCAUCCUCCACGUGACACUCAAGUUGUUCGAGGUCCUCAUCAGAAUGGUCAAUAGGAUCGACUGUAAAACAUUCAUCGAUUUUCGGUGUUGGAAGUAGUGGUUCUUGAUUAACAGUAAGGGUAUGAUGAGGGCAUCGAGAUGCUAUAUGACCUCGAUUCUGACAAUGAUGACACACGAUUGACGGGUUAGCGAUACGGGAAGAAGCAAAAGAAGAAUGUUGAUUCUUAUUGAUAUCUUGGGAAAGUGAAGGUGAUGAUGACGAAGACCCGACAACUGUGCGAGACUGA